CAAAGAGGCCUCCAAGACCUGGAACUGGUCCAGGAUAAUAUGGAGAUCUAUCAGCAGAUGUGUCCCUUGGGAACAGGACUGACAACACAAGACUGCUGCGGAAAUCCCAAUCCAGGUUCCCAAAGGGGCUUUCCUUUCUAUAGCUUCCUUUGACGACACAGUAUGUGUCUUCAAAACUGAAAUUACCUACAAACACAACAAUUAGUGGCCAAAGGGCACUUAGCUCCUCCCAAGACCCUUCAGCCUCAGCCUCCCCAGUGAACUCCUAGGGCUGUGCAGCCCCAUCCAGCCCAGCAAGUGCCUGGGCCCCGCUGCCCGACACAUCAUCGCUGGCACGUGGGAAGCACUUACUUGGUUGGGACUG